GGUUAAGCGACUAAGCGUACACGGUGGAUGCCCUGGCAGUCAGAGGCGAUGAAGGACGUGCUAAUCUGCGAUAAGCGUCGGUAAGGUGAUAUGAACCGUUAUAACCGGCGAUUUCCGAAUGGGGAAACCCAGUGUGUUUCGACACACUAUCAUUAACUGAAUCCAUAGGUUAAUGAGGCGAACCGGGGGAACUGAAACAUCUAAGUACCCCGAGGAAAAGAAAUCAACCGAGAUUCCCCCAGUAGCGGCGAGCGAACGGGGAGGAGCCCAGAGCCUGAAUCAGUGUGUGUGUUAGUGGAAGCGUCUGGAAAGGCGCGCGAUACAGGGUGACAGCCCCGUACACAAAAAUGCACAUGCUGUGAGCUCGAUGAGUAGGGCGGGACACGUGGUAUCCUGUCUGAAUAUGGGGGGACCAUCCUCCAAGGCUAAAUACUCCUGACUGACCGAUAGUGAACCAGUACCGUGAGGGAAAGGCGAAAAGAACCCCGGCGAGGGGAGUGAAAAAGAACCUGAAACCGUGUACGUACAAGCAGUGGGAGCACGCUUAGGCGUGUGACUGCGUACCUUUUGUAUAAUGGGUCAGCGACUUAUAUUCUGUAGCAAGGUUAACCGAAUAGGGGAGCCGAAGGGAAACCGAGUCUUAACUGGGCGUUAAGUUGCAGGGUAUAGACCCGAAACCCGGUGAUCUAGCCAUGGGCAGGUUGAAGGUUGGGUAACACUAACUGGAGGACCGAACCGACUAAUGUUGAAAAAUUAGCGGAUGACUUGUGGCUGGGGGUGAAAGGCCAAUCAAACCGGGAGAUAGCUGGUUCUCCCCGAAAGCUAUUUAGGUAGCGCCUCGUGAAUUCAUCUCCGGGGGUAGAGCACUGUUUCGGCAAGGGGGUCAUCCCGACUUACCAACCCGAUGCAAACUGCGAAUACCGGAGAAUGUUAUCACGGGAGACACACGGCGGGUGCUAACGUCCGUCGUGAAGAGGGAAACAACCCAGACCGCCAGCUAAGGUCCCAAAGUCAUGGUUAAGUGGGAAACGAUGUGGGAAGGCCCAGACAGCCAGGAUGUUGGCUUAGAAGCAGCCAUCAUUUAAAGAAAGCGUAAUAGCUCACUGGUCGAGUCGGCCUGCGCGGAAGAUGUAACGGGGCUAAACCAUGCACCGAAGCUGCGGCAGCGACGCUGAUGCGUUGUUGGGUAGGGGAGCGUUCUGUAAGCCUGUGAAGGUGUGCUGUGAGGCAUGCUGGAGGUAUCAGAAGUGCGAAUGCUGACAUAAGUAACGAUAAAGCGGGUGAAAAGCCCGCUCGCCGGAAGACCAAGGGUUCCUGUCCAACGUUAAUCGGGGCAGGGUGAGUCGACCCCUAAGGCGAGGCCGAAAGGCGUAGUCGAUGGGAAACAGGUUAAUAUUCCUGUACUUGGUGUUACUGCGAAGGGGGGACGGAGAAGGCUAUGUUGGCCGGGCGACGGUUGUCCCGGUUUAAGCGUGUAGGCUGGUUUUCCAGGCAAAUCCGGAAAAUCAAGGCUGAGGCGUGAUGACGAGGCACUACGGUGCUGAAGCAACAAAUGCCCUGCUUCCAGGAAAAGCCUCUAAGCAUCAGGUAACAUCAAAUCGUACCCCAAACCGACACAGGUGGUCAGGUAGAGAAUACCAAGGCGCUUGAGAGAACUCGGGUGAAGGAACUAGGCAAAAUGGUGCCGUAACUUCGGGAGAAGGCACGCUGAUAUGUAGGUGAAGCGACUUGCUCGUGGAGCUGAAAUCAGUCGAAGAUACCAGCUGGCUGCAACUGUUUAUUAAAAACACAGCACUGUGCAAACACGAAAGUGGACGUAUACGGUGUGACGCCUGCCCGGUGCCGGAAGGUUAAUUGAUGGGGUCAGCGCAAGCGAAGCUCUUGAUCGAAGCCCCGGUAAACGGCGGCCGUAACUAUAACGGUCCUAAGGUAGCGAAAUUCCUUGUCGGGUAAGUUCCGACCUGCACGAAUGGCGUAAUGAUGGCCAGGCUGUCUCCACCCGAGACUCAGUGAAAUUGAACUCGCUGUGAAGAUGCAGUGUACCCGCGGCAAGACGGAAAGACCCCGUGAACCUUUACUAUAGCUUGACACUGAACAUUGAGCCUUGAUGUGUAGGAUAGGUGGGAGGCUUAGAAGUGUGGACGCCAGUCUGCAUGGAGCCGACCUUGAAAUACCACCCUUUAAUGUUUGAUGUUCUAACGUUGACCCGUAAUCCGGGUUGCGGACAGUGUCUGGUGGGUAGUUUGACUGGGGCGGUCUCCUCCUAAAGAGUAACGGAGGAGCACGAAGGUUGGCUAAUCCUGGUCGGACAUCAGGAGGUUAGUGCAAUGGCAUAAGCCAGCUUGACUGCGAGCGUGACGGCGCGAGCAGGUGCGAAAGCAGGUCAUAGUGAUCCGGUGGUUCUGAAUGGAAGGGCCAUCGCUCAACGGAUAAAAGGUACUCCGGGGAUAACAGGCUGAUACCGCCCAAGAGUUCAUAUCGACGGCGGUGUUUGGCACCUCGAUGUCGGCUCAUCACAUCCUGGGGCUGAAGUAGGUCCCAAGGGUAUGGCUGUUCGCCAUUUAAAGUGGUACGCGAGCUGGGUUUAGAACGUCGUGAGACAGUUCGGUCCCUAUCUGCCGUGGGCGCUGGAGAACUGAGGGGGGCUGCUCCUAGUACGAGAGGACCGGAGUGGACGCAUCACUGGUGUUCGGGUUGUCAUGCCAAUGGCACUGCCCGGUAGCUAAAUGCGGAAGAGAUAAGUGCUGAAAGCAUCUAAGCACGAAACUUGCCCCGAGAUGAGUUCUCCCUGACCCUUUAAGGGUCCUGAAGGAACGUUGAAGACGACGACGUUGAUAGGCCGGGUGUGUAAGCGCAGCGAUGCGUUGAGCUAACCGGUACUAAUGAACCGUGAGGCUUAACCUU
rnacentral:rRNA from 1 species